rnacentral:lncRNA from 1 species
AGAAGACUCCAGAGUGAAGAUCAGCAGGAGGGAAGAGCCUAGUUUCUGACCUGUUUUUACCACAGAGCUUGUCUGUAUCCUAAUCCUUGGCCUGAGCAGCCUGACAUAGAACCUUCACACAUCUCUGCCUUACGGAUCUGUGAAACAGGAGCCACGAGUGCCAGAAAUAUCAUCUUCGUCCAACCUGUUGUCUGGAAUUGUGCUAUGUGUUACAGAACUGUGCUUGGUCAGUGUGCAACUGUGGGAGCAAUUGUGUGUCUCUUCUAAAAUGGGCAGCUCUGCAGUGUCAGCUCAACCUUCUCCGCUGCCUCCUGUCCAGAUGUGGAGAAGAUUCAGGUUUGGGUGAGAGGUAGGGGUGGGGAGAAAGAGAAUUUAGCUUAUUCUAGGAGGCAGGAUCCACAACUUCUGUACCUCCAGGUGCAGAUACUUUAUAAGCGCAUGUCAGAAAUGGCACUUGCCACCCUCCAAGUAGCUCUCACUGCACUAAUAGCAGAGAUGUGGCAGAACGCAGCCACUAACUUUGGUACUUUUCCUGCUGGUUUGCUCAUAGAAUCAUAGAAUCAUAGAAUCUCUAGGUUGGAAAGGACCUAUAAGAUCAUCUAGUCCAACUGUCCUCCCAUUACCCUUGCUACCACAAGCCCCUAAACUGUAUCAUC